rnacentral:rRNA from 1 species
CGUGGAUCGAUUUGUCUGGUUUAUUCCGAUAACGAGCGAGACUCUAGCCUACUAAAUAGUGACAGAAUUACUGUUGUUCUGCUUGCUUCUUAGAGGGAUUUUCGGUGUUUAGCCGCACGAGAUUGAGCAAUAACAGGUCUGUGAUGCCCUUAGAUGUCCGGGGCUGCACGCGCGCUACACUGGCGAAAUCAGCGUGCUGUAUCCAUUCUCGAAAGGGAUUGGUAAACCCAUGAAAAUUUGCCGUGCUUGGGAUCGGAAAUUGCAAUUAUUUUCCGUGAACGAGGAAUUCCAAGUAAGUGCGAGUCAUCAACUCGCUCUGAAUACGUCCCUGCCCUUUGUAC